rnacentral:tRNA from 1 species
GCGUCGGCUGGGCAUCGGCGAGCCCCAGUGGCUGUAAACCACUCGUUUUCGAACUGUGGCGGUUCAACUCCGUCCCGGCGCA